AGAAUAUAAGAACCCGUCUCUUAACUUUUAACUAAAAAAAUUAAGAACCGGCUCUUAAAUAAAACCGGUUCUUAGUUUUUUUAGUUAAAAGUUAAGAGACAGGUUCUUAUAUUCC
rfam:Brassica napus, WGS project CCCW01000000 data, contig: 12423